AACGAACGCUGGCGGCAUGCCUAACACAUGCAAGUCGAACGAGACCUUCGGGUCUAGUGGCGCACGGGUGCGUAACGCGUGGGAACCUGCCCUUAGGUUCGGAAUAACUCUCCGAAAGGGGUGCUAAUACCGGAUAAUGUCUUCGGACCAAAGAUUUAUCGCCUUUGGAUGGGCCCGCGUUGGAUUAGCUUGUUGUUAGGGUAAAAGCCUACCAAGGCGAGGAUCCGUAGCUGGUCUGGGAGGAUGAUCAGCCACACUGGGACUGGGACACGGCCCAGACUCCUACGGGAGGCGGCAGUGGGGAAUAUAGGACAGUGGGCGGAAGGCUGAUCCAGCAAGGCCGCGUGAGUGAUGAUGGCCUUAGGGUUGUAAAGCGCUUUUACCCAGGAUGAUAAUGACGGUACCGAGAGAAUAAGCUCCGGCUAACUCCGUG
rnacentral:rRNA from 1 species